rnacentral:lncRNA from 1 species
AUAAAAGAGAAGGGUGUGUCCUGACAAGCGGCAGGGACCUGGUGAUGCCACCCCAGUGGGCUCCCAGCAGCUAGAAAUCAGACACAGUGUCUCCCUGUCAGCUUCAAAGGACUUGUGACCCUCUUGACUUCAGCCCAGUGAAGAUGAUUUAGAUUCCUGGCCUCUUUGCCUGUAUAAAAAUAAAUCUGUGCUUUUUGAGUCACCGAGUUUAUGGUAAUUCAUUACAGCAAAUACCAGGCACUCACAUUAAAAGAAGAAAAAGAGCAGCGGGUGGCUUUGAAAGCCAUCUGCAGUGAAGGAUCCCUUAGCAAAGCUGUCCCUCAACACCUCCAUGCCAGUGCUUCUUCACAUUAAGACUCCAAGAAUGACCGUUUCCCGCGGGAAAGAGAGCAGCCGAACGCCAAACAUCAGCACAAACAGAAGGUGUUGGAGAGACUCCUUAGGAUCCGGAGACGGGCGGUGAAAUAUCUAAGAGGGCCUCUGAGGUAGCUGGUUAAAAUGCAGCCGCUGCACAGCCAAAGCCGGAACUGUCAGGGAACUGAAGCCCCCUGGCCCUGAACCAAAUCCCGGCACAGGAAAGCCAGGCUGUUUCUUACAGGAAACCCCAUCCAGCGAAUGCCCACUGCUGCCAGUGCCUGUGCGCACCCCGGAGACGCAUCAGACAACCAGCAAAACCAGGCCCAUUGGACUUCACAGAUCUCUCCUGGUGCAGCCGGUUCGGAACCUUGUGGAGUUGGCUGCCUGCCCGAGAAACACAUGUGCAAUCCCACCCUUCCUCAACCAACCUACACACUGAAUGUACAUGCCAACUAGAUGCCACGUGAGUGAUAUACUCAGACAAGAGAGGAUGCUGUCCCUAUUUCCAGAUGCUUCGAGUAGG